GCGUCAGUAGUGCAAAGGGUUUGAGCACGCGCUCCUGGAUGGGGUGAGAUGUGGGUUCGAGUCCCGCCUGACGCG